rnacentral:lncRNA from 1 species
GAACUGACAGGUGUGGUAACAGAAGAAACCACAGUAAAUGGGGUAGGCUGUUGGUCUUUCUUUGUAGCAUAGCUCCCAUCAUUUGAGUUAAUUCAUUAGAAGGAAAAGGCUGCUGUGAAACGGUUCUGAAACCAGGUCUUCCAAUCUACUGUCAGAAAUCAGAUGCCUAAGCCUUUGUGACAGUAGUAAAUAUUCAUUUUAAUUUGCUUGAUUCUGAUUCAUAUAGAGUUUUAUAUUUUAUUUUAUUAUUUAUAGGCUUACAGCAUGAAUCAAUAUGACAUAUUGCUGGGUUCUUAUAAAUAAUGUACAAGAGGAUUACACAGAGUGAUAAAAUUAUAGUGAUUUAUUUUCUGCAGCUACAUGCAACUACAAGGAGCUCAGAGAGAAUUUAAGGCAUGCUAAACCUGCUGUACUCUUUUGUGUAUUUAUCUUCACAAUGCUCCUGUAAACUAGUUUAGUAUUUUUAUGUGUAUUUUAGAGAGAAGUAAGGGAAGAAAAGAGAUGAAGUGAGCGCUGAAGUCAAUAGACAUGACGGGAACAUUGGCUUCCUAGGUUAAGGCUUUAACUUUCUUCUGUAACUAGGCAAAUUCAUAUUUCAUCAGGUUCAGGACAGGAUGUGUUCACCACAGAGAUAAAAGCUGACAUUGACUCUUCCACAAGGUUUCAAUAGGAAAGCAGACCAGGAGCCAGUGAACCAGAAUGAGGAGGAAAUCAGAAAACAUGCCAUUCCGUUCAUCCUGUAGCACAAAGGCAGAGACCUGGAGAAUUUCUUUCUCUCUUACUGAAUAGAAGAUUUUGAAUAACCAUAGCAACAGUAAAACCUGCUGUGAAACUUACAGCAUGAAGUGUUGCAGAUAUCUACCUCUGGGGAUCAAGGAGUUAGUGAAGGGUAUCGCUUCUGUGUUGUUGUUCCCCCCUGUACCAUCACUCCCAGGAUUACUGUGGCUGGGAAGGUCGGUGAGGAUUUCGUCUGCCACCAGAGAGCACUGUAACUAUACGCUCCAGCCAGCCGGCCCAAUUUCCAGACCUGAAGGACUUGAGUGUUUCUUCUACUUUUAUUCCAACACAAAUAUAGCUUCACUUACAUCCUUCAAGCAGCAUGGCUGCAGCAAAGCUUCCAUUGCUUUGAGUCCUGGCAUAUAUAAGGAGCACAGCACUGCUGGCCUUCUGUGGUUUGUACACGUUUUGCCUGACUGAAACCAUUGCACUAUACAGGCUUAAUAAUUACUUUGAGAUUGGACAUCUCCCUUUUUAGGGAUGGCAGAGACCUUUGCUGAUGGUACAUGUACCUGGCCGAGAAAUGACAUAUCCGCAGAUGUGGAGACAGCCUUGAGGUAUUUCCUUCUUGAAAGGCUACAACACCAACAGAAAUUAAUGCUUGGUUUUAUGCAUAAUAAUUGUGGGCUAUUCAUCACGACAUGAAAGGAGAUCCCAGAAACACUGCACCAGAAUGUUGUUGUUCUCUCUGCAAGUUUUUGACUAUUUCUUACUGUUACAGGCAGUGUCAGAGGGCUUCUUCCAUCUCCUCAGUGGCAGGGUAGCAAGGGAUUGGAGUAAAAGGAUUCCUUGGUUCUCAUCCCUGGGUUUAAAGUGUACAUGGAAAUAAAGCAGAGGGGUGAGCUGGCUCA